AAUGGGAUUCCUCCUCUUAAUCCCUCUCCAGGCAUGCCCAGAGGUGACCUAGCGGCUGUCACAGCCUUGUCUUUGGGCAGAGGCGGAGGAGUGGGUACCGAGGCAGCAGGUUGCUGCCCACCCCAAAGCAUGAGGGGGGGUGAGUGGGUGCAUCUGAAUAAAAUACUAAGGCAAGUAAUACAAUACUAAGGAGGGCAGAGCUGGUAAAAAUGUCCAGAGCAUCUGUGGCAAUGUGGGCAAUGAGGUGACGCCGCAAGUGGCUGUCACUUAUUUUGAGGCUUAUUGUCUCUAGUUUGCUUAAGAAACCUUGUUCUUUCUGUCCCAGGAGCCCUUUUAGGAGUUGAAGCAUUUCUGCAACCCAAAUGUCUCUGAUCUGGCUCCAGCGGGGACACAGAAGCGAGUGCAGGGAGCAGAAUGGGACCCGUUGUGAGGAGGGGGAGCUGCUGGCCUCUGUGGGCUGAAAAGGUCUGAUUUAAAGGUAUGUCUUCCCAUGGGAUAAUAAAUCUCUCCGAGCAAGAUCUUCCUGAGCGAAGCCGGGAGGAGCAGCCAGAUGCCAGCAUGGAUGUAUGAUGAGCUGCGGACUUCCCCCUACCAUCUGAGCUCUGUUACCAGCCCGCAGCGCUCCUCCUGCCGACACCGAGCGCCUGUUCUUGCCGUCGCCCCCACACCCGGCGUCAUUAUGGUGCUGCCGUAUGGAGGGCUCAGCAGGCGACGUCUCGUUCACCAGGGCAUGGCCAGGGACCUUCUCCAUCCCUCCUGCAGCAGGGACCCCCGGCCAUGCAGGAACUCCCCCCCCCCCCAGAGCACAAGGAUCUGCCUUGCUCCAUGACUUGCAAGCAGCCUCUAGGGCUUCUUAGGAUUGCCCCUGUGCCCGCGGGUUUGGUCUGAAACAAGGCAAAAAAGGAGUUUGGGGAUGAAAUCCAGGUUCAGCCCCGUUGGGGUUGGGGAACGCUCCUCCAGAGAGCAGCUCCAGCCAAAUAAAAGCCAUCCCAGGGGUUUCA
rnacentral:lncRNA from 1 species